rnacentral:rRNA from 1 species
GAUCCUGGUUCAGAUUGAACGCUGGCGGCAGGCUUAACACAUGCAAGUCGAACGGUAACAUGAAGAAGCUUGCUUCUUUGAUGACGAGUGGCGGACGGGUGAGUAAUGCUUGGGAAUCUAGCUUAUGGAGGGGGAUAACUACGGGAAACUGUAGCUAAUACCGCGUAGAAUCGAGAGAUGAAAGUGUGGGACCUUCGGGCCACAUGCCAUAGGAUGAGCCCAAGUGGGAUUAGGUAGUUGG